CUCGGACCGCGACCCCAGGUCAGGCGGGGCCACCCGCCGAGUUUAAGCAUAUAAAUAAGCGGAGGAGAAGAAACUUACGAGGAUUCCCCUAGUAACGGCGAGCGAACCGGGAAGCGCCCAGCUUGAGAAUCGGGCGGCCUCGCCGCCCGAAUUGUAGUCUGUAGAGGCGUCCUCAGCGGCGGACCGGGCGCAAGUCCCCUGGAAGGGGGCGCCGGAGAGGGUGAGAGCCCCGUCGCGCCCGGACCCUGGCGCAUCACGAGGCGCCGUCGGCG
rnacentral:rRNA from 1 species